UUAGGUGGAGUUGGAUAAAAUGUCUUAUUUACAUUAAGAAGGUUUACCUAAA
rnacentral:tRNA from 1 species